ACCAGCCGACGAGUCCCAAAUAGGACGAAACGUGCGUCCUGGAU
rnacentral:hammerhead_ribozyme from 1 species